GAUGAAGAACGUAGCGAAAUGCGAUAAGUAAUGUGAAUUGCAGAAUUCAGUGAAUCAUCGAAUCUUUGAACGCACAUUGCGCCCCUCGGCACUCCGGGGGGCAUGCCUGUCCGAGCGUCAUUGCACCCCUCGAGCCCCCCGUGGCUUGGUCGUGAGCCGCGCCCGCGCCAGCCCCGUCCCCCCCGUGCAGCGGGGGGCAGGGGCGCCGGGCGGGCUCGAAACGCAGUGGCGGCCCCCGGGCGACUUCCAGCGCGAUGACAUGUUUCGCUGCCGAAGCCUUCGCCCCGGGCGCCCGCCAGGCAACCCCCGUGCUUCUUACGCGGUUGACCUCGGAUCAGGCAGGGAUACCCGCUGAACUUAAGCAUAUCAAUAAGCGGAGGA
rnacentral:misc_RNA from 1 species